rnacentral:rRNA from 1 species
UACGGAGGGUGCAAGCAUUAAUCGGAUUUAUUGGGCGUAAAGGGCGCGUAGGCGGGUUUGUAAGUCAGAUGUGAAAUUCCGAAGCUUAACUUCGGAGCUGCAUUUGAAACUGCGAAUCUAGAGGGUAGGCGGAGAAAAUGGAAUUCCACGUGUAGCGGUGAAAUGCGUAGAUAUGUGGAAGAACACCGGUGGCGAAAGCGGUUUUCUAGCUUAUACCUGACGCUGAGGCGCGAAAGUAAGGGGAGCAAACAGG